UGACGGUAGUCGUAUGCUCGUCUCCGAGACUAAGCCAUGCAAGUCCAAGUACACGUCCUUGAACGACGGAAACUGCGAACGGCUCAUUAAAUCAGUUGCGAUCUACUCGGCGUUCCGCGCCGCCGGAUAACCGUAGUAAUUCUAGGGCUAAUACGUGCGAAGCGCCCGAAGCCGCGAGGCGACGGGCGUUCUCGCCGGAUGUAGGAACCGACCCGGGGACCGCCGGGGCAACCCCGGCGCCCCCGAGACGGGGCGGAACCACGGUGAAAUGACGGAUCGUCGGCCCCGCGCCGGCGACUCGCCGAAUGAGUUUCUGACCUAUCAACUCGAGACGGCGGGGUAGAGGCCCGCCGCGGUAACGACGGGUAACGGGGAAGUCAGGGUUCGAUUCCGGAGAGGGA
rnacentral:rRNA from 1 species